GGAGGGUGCAAGCGUUAUCCGGAUUCACUGGGUUUAAAGGGUGCGUAGGAGGGCAGGUAAGUCAGUGGUGAAAUCUUCGAGCUUAACUCGGAAACUGCCGUUGAUACUAUCUGUCUUGAAUACCGUGGAGGUGAGCGGAAUAUGUCAUGUAGCGGUGAAAUGCUUAGAUAUGACAUAGAACACCGAUUGCGAAGGCAGCUCACUACACGAAUAUUGACUCUGAGGCACGAAAGCGUGGGGAUCAAACAGGAUUAGAUACCCUGGUAGUCCACGCCCUAAACUAUGGAUACUCGACAUACGCGAUACACUGUGUGUGUCUGAGCGAAAGCAUUAAGUAUCCCACCUGGGAAGUACGACCGCAAGGUUGAA
rnacentral:rRNA from 1 species